CGAAAGCCUGACGGAGCAAUACCGCGUGAGGGAGGAAGGCUCUAGGGUUGUAAACCUCUUUUCUCAGGGAAGAACAAAAUGACGGUACCUGAGGAAUAAGCAUCGGCUAACUCCGUGCCAGCAGCCGCGGUAAUACGGAGGAUGCAAGCGUUAUCCGGAUUUAUUGGGCGUAAAGCGUCCGCAGGUGGCAGUUCAAGUCUGCUAUCAAAGACCGGGGCUCAACCCCGGAACAGGCAGUGGAAACUGAACAGCUAGAGUACGGUAGGGGCAGAGGGAAUUCCCAGUGUAGCGGUGAAAUGCGUAGAGAUCAGGAAGAACACCGGUGGCGAAAGCGCUCUGCUAGGACCGAUAACUGACACUCAGGGACGAAAGCUAGGGGAGCGAAUGGGAUUAGAUACCCCAGUAGUCCUAGCCGUAAACGAUGGAUACUAGGCGUUGUCAGUAUCGACCCGCACAGUGCCGUAGCUAACGCGUUAAGUAUCCCGCCUGGGGAGUACGCACGCAAGUGUGAAACUCAAAGGAAUUGACGGGGGCCCGCACAAGCGGUGGAGUAUGUGGUUUAAUUCGAUGCAACGCGAAGAACCUUACCAGGACUUGACAUGUCGCGAAUCCUCUGGAAACAGAGGAGUGCCUUCGGGAGCGCGAACACAGGUGGUGCAUGGCUGUCGUCAGCUCGUGUCGUGAGAUGUUGGGUUAAGUCCCGCAACGAGCGCAACCCUCGUGUUUAGUUGCCAUCAUUAAGUUGGGCACUCUAAACAGACUGCCGGUGACAAACCGGAGGAAGGUGGGGAUGACGUCAAGUCAGCAUGCCCCUUACGUCCUGGGCUACACACGUACUACAAUGGUAGGGACAGAGGGCAGCCAACCCGCGAGGGCGAGCUAAUCCCGUAAACCCUGCCUCAGUUCAGAUUGCAGGCUGCAACUCGCCUGCAUGAAGGCGGAAUCGCUAGUAAUCGCAGGUCAGCAUACUGCGGUGAAUCCGUUCCCGGGCCUUGUACACACCGCCCGUCACACCAUGGAAGUUGGCCACGCCCGAAGUCAUUACUCUAACCUUUCGAGGAGGAGGAUGCCGAAGGCAGGGCUGAUGACUGGGGUGAAGUCGUAACAAGGUAGCCGUACCGGAAGGUGUGGCUGGAUCACCUCCUUUUAGGGAGACCAUCUGAUACUCGACCGAACCUAAACAAUAGGUCGUUGUCAGUCAUCCCUGGUCGUUCGAGGCAUAGAUGUCAAAGCUUUCAAACUAUUAACUGGUUCGGAACAUGGGCUAUUAGCUCAGUUGGUUAGAGCGCACCCCUGAUAAGGGUGAGGUCCCUGGUUCAAAUCCAGGAUGGCCCACCUGGAAAAAAGUGAUGAAUUUUAAGCAAUGAUUAAUGAAUCAUCUAUGUAACGAUGAAUUUAGGACUCAGAGCAUCAAAAUCACAACUACUUAGUGGGGGUAUAGCUCAGUUGGUAGAGCGCCUGCCUUGCACGCAGGAAGUCAGCGGUUCGAGUCCGCUUACCUCCACUCUCACUAGCGAACUAUCUAACUAUAACUAAAACCACAAAACAAAUAGAAAUCAGCACCCAGACUAUUGAAAGAAAGUCGGAAUGCUGGAGUCUAGAACUCUAGUCAGAACCUUGAGAACUGCAUAGAAAUUAAGUCAUCAUCAAGCAGGUGAGUCAUCCGAGGAAUCGGAGCAUCUUACAAGCGACCACCAUGAAAAAAUCAAGUGGUCAAGUUACAAAGGGCUAACGGUGGAUACCUAGGCACACAGAGGCGAAGAAGGACGUGGCGACCGACGAUAAGCUCCGGGGAGCUGGAAGCAAGCAUUGAGCCGGAGAUGUCCGAAUGGGGCAACCCAGUAAGCAUCAGUUGAAUACAUAGACUGAGAGCAGCGAACCCAGCGAAUAGAAACAUCUUAGUAGCUGGAGGAAGAGAAAGCAAUAGCGAUUUCCCAAGUAGUGGUGAGCGAACGGGAAACAGCCUAAACCAGAGGUUUUUACUUCUGGGGUCGUGGGACAGUCAAUUAACGUAUCUUUAAGCUAGACAAGGCAGUUGAAAGCUGCACCAGAGAAGGUGAAAGUCCUGUAGUCGAAAGUAGAAAAGAGCGUGACUGUAUCCCGAGUAGCACGGGGCCCGUGAAAUCCCGUGUGAAUCAGCGAGGACCAUCUCGUAAGGCUAAAUACUACUGUGUGACCGAUAGUGAACCAGUACCGCGAGGGAAAGGUGAAAAGAACCCCGGAAGGGGAGUGAAAUAGAACAUGAAACCGUUAGCUUACAAGCAGUGGGAGGACGAUUUAACGUCUGACCGCGUGCCUGUUGAAGCAUGAGCCGGCGAGUUAUAGGCAGUGGCAGGUUAAGACCCUAUGGGUUGCAGCCAAAGCGAAAGCGAGUUUGACAAGAGCGCCCGUGUGAAAGCACAGGUCACUGUUUAUAGACCCGAACCCGGGUGAUCUAACCAUGUCCAGGAUGAAGCUUGGGUAACACCAAGUGGAGGUCCGAACCGACUGAUGUUGAAAAAUCAGCGGAUGAGGUGUGGUUAGGGGUGAAAUGCCAAUCGAACCCGGAGCUAGCUGGUUCUCCCCGAAAUGUGUUGAGGCACAGCGGUCGAGAUUAAGUUUAGGGGUAGAGCACUGUUUCGGUGCGGGCUGCGAGAGCGGUACCAAAUCGAGGCAAACUCUGAAUACCAAACUGGUACUCGGCCAGUCAGACGGUGGGGGAUAAGCUUCAUCGUCAAGAGGGAAACAGCCCAGACCACCAGCUAAGGUCCCCAAAUGACUGCUAAGUGAUAAAGGAGGUGGGAGUGCAGUGACAACCAGGAGGUUUGCCUAGAAGCAGCCACCCUUAAAAGAGUGCGUAAUAGCUCACUGGUCUAGCGCUCCUGCGCCGAAAAUGAACGGGGCUAAGCAGUCUACCGAAGCUGUGGAAUAAAUGAUGAAAAUCAUGUAUUGGUAGGGGAGCGUUCCGCAACGGUGUGAAGCACUAGCGACAAGCAGGUGUGGACUGUGCGGAAGUAAGAAUGUCGGCUUGAGUAGCGCAAAUGUGGGUGAGAAUCCCACACCCCGAAACCCUAAGGGUUCCUCCGCCAGGCUCGUCCGCGGAGGGUGAGUCAGGUCCUAAGGCGAGGCAGAAGUGCGUAGUCGAUGGAUAACGGGUCAAUAUUCCCGUACCUGACAUUGUUGGUGCAGAGGGACGGAGAAGGCAAUCGCCAGCCGGAUGUUGGUUACCGGUUUAAGUAUUCGAGGUGUUGAGAGACGGAGAAAACGUCUUGAGCUGAGGUACGAGUACGACCUCCUACGGGAGGGAAGUGGUAGAUGUCAGGCUUCCAAGAAAAGCUCUAAACACCAUAAGCAAUGUCAGCCUGUACCCGAAACCGACACAGGUAGGGAGGUAGAGUAUACCAAGGGGCGCGAGAUAACUCUCUCUAAGGAACUCGGCAAAAUGGCCCCGUAACUUCGGGAGAAGGGGUACCUACGCAAGUAGGUCACAGUGAAGAGUCCCAGGCGACUGUUUACCAAAAACACAGGUCUCCGCAAAGUCGUAAGACGACGUAUGGGGGCUGACGCCUGCCCAGUGCCGGAAGGUUAAGGAAGUUGGUCAGGAGUAAUCUGAAGCUAGCGACUGAAGCCCCGGUGAACGGCGGCCGUAACUAUAACGGUCCUAAGGUAGCGAAAUUCCUUGUCGGGUAAGUUCCGACCCGCACGAAAGGCGUAACGAUCUGGGAGCUGUCUCGGAGAGAGACUCGGCGAAAUAGAAUUGUCUGUGAAGAUACGGACUACCUGCACCUGGACAGAAAGACCCUAUGAAGCUUUACUAUAGCCUGGAAUUGUGUUCGGGCUUCGCUUACGCAGGAUAGGUGGGAGGCUGUGAAGUUCUGCUUGUGGGCAGAAUCGAGCCAACGGUGAGAUACCACUUUAGCGAGGCUAGAAUUCUAACCCUUGCCCGUCAUCCGGGAAGGAGACAGUUUCAGGGGGGUAGUUUGACUGGGGCGGUCGCCUCCUAAAAGGUAACGGAGGCGCGCAAAGGUUCCCUCAGGCUGGUUGGAAAUCAGCCAUAGAGUGCAAAGGCAGAAGGGAGCUUGACUGCAAGACCUACAAGUCGAGCAGGGUGGAAACACGGUCUUAGUGAUCCGACGGUGCCGCAUGGAAGGGCCGUCGCUCAACGGAUAAAGGUUACUCUAGGGAUAACAGGCUGAUCUCCCCCAAGAGUCCACAUCGACGGGGAGGUUUGGCACCUCGAUGUCGGCUCAUCGCAACCUGGGC
rnacentral:sRNA from 1 species